AACAGGGAUUGCCUCAGUAGCGGCGAGUGAAGCGGCAAAAGCUCAAAUUUGAAAUCUGGCGUCUUUGGCGUCCGAGUUGUAAUUUGAAGAAGGUAUCUUUGGGCCCGGCUCUUGUCUAUGUUCCUUGGAACAGGACGUCACAGAGGGUGAGAAUCCCGUGCGAUGAGAUGACCCGGGUCUGUGUAAAGUUCCUUCGACGAGUCGAGUUGUUUGGGAAUGCAGCUCUAAGUGGGUGGUAAAUUCCAUCUAAAGCUAAAUAUUGGCGAGAGACCGAUAGCGAACAAGUACAGUGAUGGAAAGAUGAAAAGAACUUUGAAAAGAGAGUGAAAAAGUACGUGAAAUUGUUGAAAGGGAAGGGCUUGAGAUCAGACUUGGUAUUUUGCAUGUUGCUCUCUCGGGGGCGGCCGCUGCGGUUUACCGGGCCAGCAUCGGUUUGGAGCGGCAGGAUAAUGGCGGAGGAAUGUGGCACGGCUUCUGCUGUGUGUUAUAGCCUCUGACGAUACUGCCAGCCUAGACCGAGGACUGCGGUUUUUACCUAGGAUGUUGGCAUAAUGAUCUUAAGUCGCCCGUCUUGAAACACGGACCAAGGAGUCUAACGUCUAUGCGAGUGUUUGGGUGUAAAACCCGUACGCGUAAUGAAAGUGAACGAAGGUGGGGGCCCAUUAGGGUGCACCAUCGACCGAUCCUGAUGUGUUCGGAUGGAUUUGAGUAAGAGCAUAGCUGUUGGGACCCGAAAGAUGGUGAACUAUGCCUGAAUAGGGUGAAGCCAGAGGAAACUCUGGUGGAGGCUCGUAGCGGUUCUGACGUGCAAAUCGAUCGUCGAAUUUGGGUAUAGG
rnacentral:rRNA from 1 species